CCUACGGGGGGCAGCAGUGGGGAAUAUUGCGCAAUGGGCGAAAGCCUGACGCAGCAACGCCGCGUGAGCGAUGAAGGCCUUCGGGUCGUAAAGCUCUGUCCUCAGGGAAGAUAAUGACGGUACUUGAGGAGGAAGCCCCGGCUAACUACGUGCCAGCAGCCGCGGUAAUACGUAGGGGGCAAGCGUUAUCCGGAAUUACUGGGCGUAAAGGGUGCGUAGGGGGAUUCUUAAGUCAGAGGUGAAAGGCUACGGCUAAACCGUAUUAAGCCUUUGAAAACGGGGAACUUGAGUGCAGGAGAGGAGAGUGGAAUUCCUAGUGUAGCGGUGAAAUGCGUAGAUAUUAGGAGGAACACCAGUGGCGAAGGCGGCUCUCUGGACUGUAACUGACACUGAGGCACGAAAGCGUGGGGAGCAAACAGGAUUAGAUACCCUUGUAGUC
rnacentral:rRNA from 1 species